ACCAUGAAAGAAUUAUACUUCAGAAGGACCGGAAUUCCCUUACAAAUACCUGGGCUAGUAAGUUGCUCGCCAUUGGCAACGUGUACCUUUAAACCAUUCUGUUUGUUUACCACAACAUUCAGUUCCUCAACUUUUGCGGCAGAAACAAAACUGUGAGUGCUGCCGGAGUCGAUGAGGAUCAAGACUUGCCCAAGCAUCCAACUGCCUAUCAACCUCAUGGACUGGGAAACAACUAAUGCUGACUAAUUCAGCCACUCAAUUACUGGUGACUUGGAUUUAGGACCAUGGGUAUAACGGGAAUAUACUUGCAGGGGUUUGGUAACAUUACUUCCCGCCCCCAAUGGAAGCUUGUCCGCAAGCUUGAAGUCUGGAAACUUGUCUGUUAUAUGCUGGACCCUUUCCCACGAAGCAUCUGCUGGUGAAGAAUGACUCCAAUGAAUUAAAACCUCUGGAAUUCCUCCUUUGAUACGAUGAUCCAGAACAGCUAAAGGAUGGACAGGAUCCUCCAAAAGAAUGGUAGGUGGUAAUGUUGGAGUGACAGGCUGACCGGCAUGAUAGGGCUUGAGAUAGGAAACAUGGAAAACAGGGUGGAUCUUGGACUCUGCUGGAAGGUCUAGUUUAUAGGCCAUGGUGCCAAUGCAUUCCAGAACCCGAAAGGGUCCGUAAAACCUGGCGGACAGCUUGUGAUUAGUUCUUUUUGCAACUAACUGUUGUCUAUACGCCUUUAAACGCAGCAGGACCAUGUCACCAACUUUAAAUUCCAGCGAGCGGUGGGACUGAUCAUAAGUGGCUUUCAUCUUAUUUUGGGCUUGUAACAGAUUUUGGCGAAGUAGGUGCAGCAUGUCAUCCCGUUGGCGCAGAACAGUAUCAACCGCUUCAAUUGAAGAACUGCCAUGCAAGUAAGAUAAUAGUCGAGGAGGUGGUCGACCAUAAACAGUCUCAAAAGGUGUGGAUUUAAGUGAGGUAUGGUAGCUGGUGUUGUAGCAGUAUUCAGCCCAAGACAACCAAUCAAUCCACUUUGAUGGCGAUGAACUAGUGAAACAGCGGAGAUACAUUUCAACAGUACGGUUCACAACCUCUGUCUGUCCGUCAGAUUGUGGAUGGUAAGAGGAACUGAAACACAGCUUGGUCCCACAUAAACGGAAUAGUUCUUUCCAAAAAGAACUUGUGAAAGUCACAUCCCUGUCACUGACCAUAGUUUCUGGCAACCCAUGUAAUUUAAAAAUGUUGUCAAAGAAGGUGCGAGCAACACUUACAGCGGUGUACGGGUGAGUGAGAGCCAAAAAAUGUCCGUACUUUGAGAACCGAUCAACGACAACCAUUAAAACAUUCUUUCCGCGUGAAGUGGGAAUGCCUUCUAUGAAGUCAAUGGAGAUAUCAGCCCAAAUUUGAGUGGGAACGGGCAAAGGUUGAAGGAGUCCCGCCGGUUGUAGUGUGUCAGUUUUAUGCCGCUGACAUACAUCACAAGAACGCACAAAAUCCCUUACGAAAUUUUUCAUCCCCUGCCAAUAGAAAUCUCUAGUGAUUCUGUAUAAUGUCUUCUGGUAACCUUCAUGACUUUGGUUGUGAAGAGCACUAACAACCAGCUGAAUUGAUGGGGAAUUGGGAGGCAGAUAAACUUUGUUAUUGUAGAAGAGUAACCCAUCCCGAAAAACCCAUUUUGAAGCGACUGUUCCAUUGGUAAUUGCAGAGAUUUGUUGCUGAAUUGCUGGUGAAUCACUAUGUUCCUUCCGAAUUUCAUCAAACAAACUGAGUUGAGGCAUGGAAACAGCCAUAAGGAUUGAAUCAUCGGCAUUCCGUCGAGAAAGAGCGUCCGCCACCACAUUAGAUUUGCCAGCCCUGUAUUCAACAGUAAAAGAAAAACCCAGGAGCUUGCUAAUCCAAUGUUGUUGAGUUGCUGAGAGAUGGCGCUGCUCAAGCAGAUAUUUCAAUGUAUAAUGAUCUGUCCGAACAAUAAAUUCACGUCCCCACAGAUAGGAAUGCCAAUGCUUUAAUGCCUUCACUAAGCCAAUCAAUUCUCGCUCGUAAGCUGGAAGAUUUUGAUGACGAGCUGCCAAGGAACGGCUGAAAUAUGCGACUGGCCGGUUGUGUUGUAACAAGACUGCUCCAAUCCCUGUACCAGAAGCGUCACAUUCUAUAACAAAAGUUAGAUCAAAAUUCGGUAGAAGCAGGAUUGGAGUAGAUGUCAAGGCUGCCUUUAACUUCUGGAAUGCAUCGAUAGCGUGAUCAGUCCAGUGGAAGUUGUUUUUACGCAGCAUAGCAGUGAGGGGGGCGACAAUGAUGCCGUAAUUCUGCACAAACUUGCGAUAAUAACCUGUGAGCCCUAGGAAUCCACGUAACCCACGAAUGGUGUUGGGCUUUGGCCAUUCUAAUACAGCAGCAACUUUGGACUGAUCCACCUGCACUCCUUGGGAAGAAAUAAUAUGACCCAAAUAGGAAAUCUGAGAUUGACCGAAGACACACUUCGACCGUUUGAGGACCAACUGGUUCUGUAACAGCAAUUGGAAAACCAGCCGCAAAUGGUGGAUGUGUUCUGCCCAGGAUUGACUGAAAACCAAAAUAUCGUCAAAAAAGACGAGUACAAAUUUUCGUAAGUAAAGUUGGAAUACCUCGUUCAUUAGGGCCUGAAAAGUUGAGGGAGCGUUGGAUAAUCCAAACGGCAUCACCAGGAAUUCAAAGUGUCCGUGGUGAGUGCGGAAGGCAGUUUUCUCUAUAUCAGCAGGAUGCAUCCCCACCUGAAAGUAACCCGAAAGCAGAUCUAACUUUGAGAAGAACUUAGCUCCACCCAAUUCCUCCAAUAAUUCGUCAAUAACCGGAAUAGGGAAUUUGUCUUUGAUGGUUUUGGCGUUUAAUUCUCUGUAAUCAACACAAAGGCGCCAGGAACCAUCAGCUUUGGGAACCAGAAUCACCGGCGACGAGAAUGGGGAACGGCUGGGACGGAUUAUACCCUGCUGUAACAUUGCAGCACAUUGCUUUUCAAUUUCGUCCUUCUGACCAUGAGGGUAACGGUAUGGUCGAACUACCACAGGACCAGCUCCGGGGAUUAGGGGAAUACGAUGAUCACAAGAUCUGCUAGGGGGCAGCCCAGUAGGAGCAUUGAAUAAAGAAGCAAAUUCCGCCAAUAAUUUCUGGAGUUGGAUGUCUGGGUCAGAUGAAAUCUGCAUGUUGUUCAGAUCUGAACCGUGGGAAGAGCUUGAAGAAGUAAUACCCUG
rnacentral:misc_RNA from 1 species